UGAGAAUGCCAUUGAGAGUGCUACUCUCCAUAUCUUCUCCGUCCGCAAAACAAACUUAACAUCCUUCAAGCAUUUCACCGGCAAAUAGUCAAGUUCACGAAGUUAGUAUAAGACAAAUUGCAAUCAAUAGGUAAGAAUGCUCAGCUCUGCUCCUAGGUUAACCUGUGCUAUGAAGGUACCCGAAGAAUAAAACUAUAAAGAAGCACAUAAGCUACUAAUUCAAGAAAUGAACAUGUGAAGAGUGGUGAAAGCGAUAACGAAUAGAUGAGAAUCGGAUCGGGGCAGCUAAACGAUGUCGUUUAUCAGAGCUUGUGAAGGGUUUGAUCAAGGCACAUCCCGUGUGUCUCAAAGCCAUGGAACAGUUAAUGUCUCACAUUCUUUUUUUUUUUUUCUUUUUCUUUUUGCACCCACUUUCAGAUUCAAUUGGUGCCUUUCUUGGUUUUUUCUUGUACCCUUUGGGGUUUUAUCAUUUAGCUCCAAAAUGGUACCUUUUGCAAUGUUUGCCAUUAUUUUGCAUUUCACUUUUUAGCAUAAUUUAUUUGUUUCUGAAUCAUACUGAGGAAUGUGGUGCUUGUGGUGUUCAAUUCUCCUGUUUUGGUCUACAUUAGGCAUUCUGACUUCUGAGUUUAGUGAUUUUAGGAAUUUUUGGGAUGUCAUGUGUUUUGUCACCUAAUUUUGAUUUUCAAUGUUUAUUUAAAGUUUAGUGUUUUUUUUUUUUUAAUAUAUACUCUCUCUAGUCAUUAGGCAUUAGAAAAAAAACAUAUUUUUCUCUUAUCAUUCAUUUGAUUGAGGUACUAGUUUCAUAAACUCUUAUUUUUUAUACUAAGUUCCAAAUAUAAUUUGAAAAAAAGUUACUUUUUAAUUAAAAUUGAUGCAAUUAAAUAUUGCUAAGUAACUUUUGUUAGUUAGCGUGAAAUGUUUUUUUUUACUUCUUAUAUUUGAGAUGGAAGGAAAUACAUUUUAAGUUGAUAAGGAAAUGUCAGUAUUUAAUCUUUUAAUCUCCUGAAAAAAAAGUUAUAUAUUUUUAGUUUCUUAAAAUGUGUUAAGUGUAAUAAUAUCUGUUCUUUUCUUGGACUUAGUACUAGUAACAUGAAAUACAACGCCAAUUUUAUAAACAAAAAUGAUACAUCGACACCUUAUGCUAAUGUACUCCUAAAGAGAGAAAGAGAGAACAAAGAGAAACGUGAAUGUGAUAAGAAGAGACAUUGAAAAAAAAUGAGAAGUGCCAAUGAAGUGUUUGUAUUAUAACAGAUGUCCCUAUAUCAUUUUUCUUUUAUAGAUGAGGAAUUAAAAAUAUGAUUUUAUUUAAGGAACAUUCUAUUUUUCUAGGAACAUUUUCUUAUUUACAGGAAUAAAAAUAUACUAUUCAAACUUUUUUUUCCUGCAGGGUGAAAAUUUGAGUAUUAUUAUCUUUUUGACUGUGUUUACAAGAGCGCCACCUGCAACAUUUCCUAGAGCUGAAAAAAAUUAGAAUAUGCUCUGCUCUUAAGCAUGAAUAUUUAUCUGAAUUUCUAAAUAAGCGCAGAAACUGCUUAGUUAGGCUUUAUGUUGACAGCUAAAAUAUUGAAAAUGUUGAGUUCAGUAUGAUUGUUGUACCAUUGUUCUCAAUAAUAUUGAUCAUGUUCAUGACUGAUGUUUAUUCAAUUGAUUGGAGGCUAUGUUAGCCUUUAGUGCUGCUCAAGUAUUUUUAUGUGACAGAUCUGUCAUAAUGAAUAUGGUAUUUCAAAUGCAUGUGGAAUAUGGUAUUUUUCUCUAGUUAUAAUGAAUAUUUCUCAUCUGUAGUCUGUUAUACAAAUGUUUUUAUAUAAUAGAUCUGUCACAUUUUUUUCAAAUGCAUUUGGAAUAUGUAUUUUUCUCUAGUUAUAAUUUCUCAUUUAGCUACUUGCUGAGUGGAUUCAAGUAUAAUCUGACACUCUGAGUUCCUUUCCAUAGAAAAAGUGGAAACUGAAAAGAGGUGUACUUUCUCUCAUUCUCUUUCUUCAUUUUGUCUUGCCCUUUCUGGGUGUGGACUGAGUUCUUAAAUAUAGAACUACUCAUGUGAAAGAUUAUAUGUCUCUGCUCUGUUUCUGAUAUGUGAUAUCUGAUAACUCUUUGCUUAUAUGUAUAUAUAUUAUAUAUGCUGGUUUUAUCAACUUGGUAAGAAUUCUUAAAAUGAAAUGUUUGUUACUAAUAGACAAUGUUAUCAAUGGUGGAUGGUGGAAUGUAGCGGAAAGUCAAAAUUCCACCACAUGAACACAGAAUUGUGGCCUAUGGUGCUGUGUUAUGAGUCACACAUUGAGUAGAGUAAACUACUUGGUGUGGUACAUAGUCCUUGAGGUUCUUCACCUAAUGAACCAGUCUUUUGGGUUGAGCUCUUCUCUUGUGCUUAAUCCUAACAAUUAAUGCUUUUGGAAUGACUGAUUCAUAUUGGAUGCAUAGAAUUAGAGUAGGGUAUUUUUUUUCCAAGUUGCCUACUUUUAAAUAUGCCCUAGAUCAUGUCCACUUAGUUCAUAUGGAUGAUUAAUUUUCAGUAGGUUCUGUGCUUUUGAUCCCCCUCCAUCUCUCGUAUUUGGAUUGAGGGUUCUUGAGUUAAAGGAGCAAGGUGUUAGUAAGGAACAAGCAAUGGCUAUGGCAGAUGUAGUAACGUGAACUGGUUCCUGAACAUGUUAGCUCUGCAAUUUGUUUUUCCCUUGUGUUCUCUUAUCCUCUAAUAAUCCACUUUGGCUUUUUUGCUUCCUAGAUGGAGAGUAUCUGACAGAGAAGAGGGCAAAAAAGAAAGCAUAUACCUGUUUGAGGAAAAAACCCAUAUCCUAGUCCUAUCAAGGAAAUACAAGCUGAGGAGAGGAAAUUGUGAAGCAAUAGAAAGCUGAGUCAGCAGAGAGAUUCAGAGAGGGGGUGAUUGGUGAGAUGUAGAGGGGAAAAGUUACACUACUUUGAAAGUUUGGCUCUUGAACAAAUGAUCUUUGACAAUAACAUUUACUGUUCAGCCACUGAAAAGUUAUUUGUUGUAAAUAAGAAAAUCUAUUUGUUGUGUUAGAUAACUGUAGAGGAAAAUUUUACCAAAAUCUUAUGCAAGUUUUCUGUUUUUCCAGGCCACCCAUGUAGGUUUGUUAGUUGGUACAAAAGAACUAAAUAGAUAAUCAAGAUUUGUAUAUUUACUCUUUUUAUUUUUAUGAUUAUGAGCCUCAUGACCAAAAUAUUAUGCGAUUAAUUUUCAAUAUAAUAUAUUUUAACUUGACUUUUUGAAUGUUAAAAAAUUGAAUCUGUUUUAUAAUAUCAAUGUUCUUGAAGUAUCCAGCCAUAUAGAUAGCUUAAGUGUUCAAGUCAUGUGGAUGUGUCAAGUAAACUGUUUGAACUAACAAAACUUUUGUUAGACUUAGUGAGUAGUGUAGGACACAUGUUGUACAGAUGUCGAGAAAGUGUUGGUGCUAAAAAUUUGUCUAAUCACUGUGCUUAACAAGUUUCAUCUUAUCAUUCAGUAACUAUUGUGUUUUUCUUUAGCAGCCUUUUCCACUACUUUUAUCUCUUGUUCUGUUCUUGUCAUCCUCACUUGUACUCAGGGUCACUUGUUGCAUCUUAUUCUCUUGAUCUUUGUAUGUAGUUAAGUACAUUAUCAGAUUUUGUGGCAUGCAGACACGAGAUCUCUCACCAUCCUUUUAAUUAUUUUCAUCAUAAGCAGCACAUAACACUGUUUGAAGCAAUUUUAAUGUGAGCUCCUUUGGAUGGAUGCUAAUUCCCAGG
rnacentral:lncRNA from 1 species